GGUACCUCUGUUUGGUAUCACAUCCAUCAAGGGGGAAAGGUCUUCUGGCUCAUCCCCCCUACAGCCCACAACCUGGAGCUGUACGAGAAUUGGCUGCUGUCAGGGAAACAGGGAGACAUCUUUCUGGGUGACCGGGUGUCAGAUUGUCAGCGCAUUGAGCUCAAGCAGGGCUAUACCUUCGUCAUUCCCUCAGGCUGGAUUCAUGCUGUGUAUACUCCUACAGACACAUUAGUGUUUGGGGGCAAUUUUUUGCAUAGCUUCAACAUCCCUAUGCAGUUAAAAAUAUACAACAUUGAAGAUCGGACACGGGUUCCAAAUAAGUUUCGCUAUCCAUUCUACUAUGAGAUGUGUUGGUAUGUGUUGGAGCGCUAUGUGUACUGCAUAACCAACCGUUCCCACCUAACCAAGGAAUUUCAGAAAGAGUCCCUCAGCAUGGAUUUGGAGUUAAAUGGGUUGGAGUCUGGGAAUGGGGACGAGGAAGCAGUGGAUCGAGAACCCCGACGCUUGAGCAGCAGGCGUUCUGUCCUCACUAGCCCUGUAGCGAAUGGAGUCAACCUGGAUUAUGAUGGACUGGGCAAAACCUGCCGAAGUCUUCCAAGUCUGAAGAAAACUUUGUCUGGGGACUCAUCUUCUGACUCUAGCCGGGGCUCCCACAAUGGACAAGUGUGGGAUCCCCAGUGUGCUCCCCGAAAGGACAGGCAAGUGCAUCUGACCCAUUUUGAGCUUGAAGGCCUUCGCUGCCUUGUAGAUAAGUUGGAGUCUCUGCCACUGCACAAGAAAUGUGUCCCCACAGGGAUAGAAGAUGAAGAUGCUCUCAUUGCUGAUGUAAAGAUUUUGCUGGAGGAGCUUGCCAACAGUGAUCCCAAGUUAGCCCUCACUGGAGUUCCUAUAGUACAGUGGCCAAAAAGGGAUAAGCUUAAAUUCCCCACUCGGCCAAAGGUGCGGGUUCCUACCAUCCCCAUUACGAAGCCUCACACUAUGAAACCAGCUCCACGGUUAACACCUGUGAGGCCAGCUGCUGCCUCCCCGAUUGUGUCAGGAGCCAGACGGAGACGAGUGCGAUGUCGAAAAUGCAAAGCCUGUGUGCAAGGAGAGUGUGGUGUUUGCCACUACUGCAGAGACAUGAAGAAGUUUGGGGGGCCUGGACGCAUGAAGCAGUCCUGUGUCCUCCGACAGUGCUUGGCACCCAGACUGCCUCAUUCAGUCACAUGUUCCCUCUGUGGAGAGGUGGAUCAGAAUGAAGAGACACAAGACUUUGAGAAGAAACUCAUGGAAUGCUGUAUCUGCAAUGAGAUUGUUCAUCCUGGCUGCCUCCAGAUGGAUGGAGAGGGGUUGCUUAAUGAAGAAUUGCCAAAUUGCUGGGAAUGUCCAAAGUGCUACCAGGAGGACAGCUCGGAGAAAGCCCAGAAGCGGAAAAUGGAAGAGAGUGACGAAGAAGCUGUGCAAGCCAAAGUCCUGCGGCCCCUGCGGAGCUGCGAUGAGCCUCUCACGCCCCCGCCUCAUUCACCCACUUCCAUGCUGCAGCUCAUCCAUGACCCGGUUUCCCCCCGGGGUAUGGUGACUCGGUCAUCCCCUGGGGCUGGCCCCAGCGACCACCACAGUGCCAGCCGCGAUGAGCGCUUCAAACGGCGGCAGUUGCUGCGGCUGCAGGCCACAGAGCGCACCAUGGUACGGGAAAAGGAGAACAAUCCCAGCGGCAAAAAGGAGCUGUCUGAAGUUGAGAAAGCCAAGAUCCGGGGAUCGUACCUCACUGUCACGCUACAGAGGCCCACCAAAGAGCUCCACGGGACAUCCAUUGUGCCCAAGCUGCAGGCCAUCACGGCCUCCUCUGCCAACCUUCGCCAUUCCCCCCGUGUGCUAGUGCAGCACUGCCCAGCCCGAACCCCCCAGCGUGGGGAUGAGGAGGGGCUGGGGGGAGAGGAGGAGGAAGAGGAGGAGGAGGAGGAGGAAGAUGACAGUGCAGAGGAGGGGGGUGCAGCCAGGCUGAAUGGCCGGGGCAGUUGGGCUCAGGAUGGAGACGAAAGCUGGAUGCAGCGGGAGGUCUGGAUGUCUGUCUUCCGCUACCUCAGCCGCAGAGAACUUUGUGAAUGUAUGCGAGUGUGCAAGACGUGGUAUAAAUGGUGCUGCGACAAGAGACUUUGGACAAAAAUUGACUUGAGUAGGUGUAAGGCCAUUGUGCCCCAGGCCCUCAGUGGCAUCAUCAAGAGGCAGCCAGUCAGCCUUGACCUCAGUUGGACCAACAUCUCUAAAAAGCAACUGACAUGGCUUGUCAAUAGGCUGCCAGGACUGAAAGACCUCCUCCUAGCAGGCUGCUCCUGGUCUGCAGUCUCUGCCCUCAGCACCUCCAGCUGCCCCCUUCUCAGGACCCUUGAUCUUCGGUGGGCAGUAGGAAUCAAGGACCCUCAAAUUCGGGACUUGCUUACUCCACCGGCUGAUAAACCAGGUCAGGACAAUCGCAGCAAGCUCCGGAACAUGACCGACUUCCGGCUGGCAGGCCUUGACAUCACAGAUGCCACGCUUCGCCUCAUCAUUCGCCACAUGCCCCUCCUGUCUCGACUCGACCUCAGUCACUGCAGCCACCUUACAGAUCAGUCCUCCAAUCUACUCACUGCUGUCGGGUCUUCCACUCGCUACUCUCUCACAGAGCUCAAUAUGGCAGGUUGCAAUAAAUUGACAGACCAGACCCUGAUCUACCUACGGCGCAUUGCCAACGUCACCUUGAUCGACCUUCGAGGAUGCAAGCAGAUCACUCGAAAAGCCUGCGAGCACUUCAUCUCAGACUUGUCCAUCAACAGCCUCUACUGCCUGUCUGACGAGAAGCUGAUACAGAAGAUCAGCUAAGACACACCCAGCCCAGACUCAACAGGAAACCGAUCUUCCCCUGACUCCCCACCGAGGAGAGCCUCUCCUCGACCCUGCACGGGCUCUGAGGCCAGCGUCACACUCCCUCUCUGCUCUCCUGUCCCUUGAGCUCUUCCUCUACAGGUGGGGCAGAGAGGGUGGUGGACACCAGGCUUACCUGCCUGCUCCUCUCCCUCCUAAGGAAAAGGGAGUAGCAGAUUGAUCUGAGGGGAAAGCACAGGCUGUGCUGUCAAGGCGCCUGCUCGCUUACUCGCCUGCCAGGAGGCCGGGCUCUCAGUUUGGGGUGUUUGUGCAACCUUCAUCUGCACUGGGCCCUGUGCCCCUCCUCCCCAUCCAUGGUCCCCAGCAGUGCCUGGUUCUGAGCAAACUCCCAGGGAAGAAAACGGCCCUGUCUCCAUGGCCAGGUUCUUGUGGUGUCUAGUGCGCGUCUCUCCUCCAUCACACUCUCCCGGCUUGCGCAGGAGGGGCCGGCAGCCCCAGGAGUCCCAGACCCGUGCCGAUCACACUGGUGCUGUUGAGAUGUCCCAAACCUCACGUCCUUAACUGUGCUCUCCCUCCUUUCCUCUCCCUUGAGCUUGGUUCUGCCCAGCACUCGUGCUCGUUCAUAUAAUUAGGUUUCCCACCCCAGCCUACCCGACUUACUUGCUAGUCUCUAUGAGGUCCUUAUUGCACUUAUUGGGGUUGAAGCUCUUCAGAGGAGCUGGAACUGUCUACCCCAGGGACACACCCAUUUCGUUGCUACCCAAGUGGAUUCUGAGACAGGCACCAUCUCCUUGUUCCCCCCUCUCUCUUUUGCCUCCCACUGACUGCCCUUUUCCAUGUGUCUUCAUUCUGCCUGAAGAAGGCUUUCCCAGGAUGCACGUCCUCAGAGGGAGCAGCCUAUCUCCCCCAAGCUGGAGGCGGCAGAGGACUGGGCCAAGCCCCAACCUGCCUGUGUCUAGCCCCAGUGGCUCACUGACCUUUCAGGACAGUCAGGGGGUCCUGCUUAGAAGCCAGUCACCUGCCCUCUGCCUGCAGCCAUGGAAGGGGGUGUGCAUGUGCCUCUGUGUGUGUGGCUGAGUGUAUUCCGCGCGUGUGUGUGGAGGGAGGGAGCGAGGGGAGCAUGGUGUCUCCCGCUCCACCGCCCUUUGUCGAGCCCCAUCAGCUGCCCCCUUUUACUUUGCAUUGAACGGCCUGUCCAAAGAUCCUCUCUCUAGGGCAGCAGAGAGCUUUUUGCACUUUAAAAAAAAAGAAAGAAA
rnacentral:sRNA from 1 species